GGACUGCGGAAAUUUGGACCACCUGGGGUUCUUUAGCGUGCACCUUAUUCUAAAUAAACAGGUGCUUUCGCAUUUCGCCCCCAUCGAAAUGCGGCCGCCGUGGCCGGGAUUCGAUCGCGCGACCUCGUGCGUAGCAGCCCAGCACCAUAGCCGCUAAGCAACCGCGGCGGGUAGGUUUCAGUCUUCUGCGAAACUGAGCGCGUGUGCGUAUGUUUGUACUCGCUUUCGUACCUUCAUUUCACGUGUUUGUGGAACUCCUCAUGGACAUUCUUGCUCUUAGACGGCUCUCAAUUGUUUUCCGGUACUUCCCGCGUUAGUACUUUUUUUUCCUUUUUUUUUACGCAAUCCACCGGGACCACAUAAACGUGCUCAUUCCCGUACUUUGAAUUCAUGCCAUAAAAGGAAACCAUCCUAAUUAGAACUAGAGGACACAGCUGUUACCUUUUAUUGCAAUUUCCUCCUUAAUGCCUACCAUUUUCAUUCCGCCCCGGUGAGAUAUGCACCACUCAAAUAAUCCAUGACAGGCAAAUAUUUUAGCGAAGCACAAAGAGGCAGGCCUUUCACAUUACGCAGGAAAGUGUUAAAUUUGCGCUAAUUUAUUGUCGACCAUCCGCGCAUUCUUCACUCUGUCGUUUGAAUGGAAAUCCUCUCGAAGGCGGCCGCGUUGGGAUUUCUCAUUCGUUGCUGCGCUCUCCUCUCGGCAACUUCAUCGCGCCCGUCGGCCUGCGUUAAACGUAUUUUCUUUCAGGCACUAGACGAGCGUGUUAUUUAAACAUUUUUUUAAACGACAGUGCUAUAGAUAUUUUGGGACUGAACCACCAUUAGACCACAUUUUUUCUUCACUUCUAUUUCUCUUGUUUCUAGAGGGCAAAUCUGCGUUGCUAUUUUUUUCCCUAUACGUUGCACUGUCGUUUUCCAAGAGGUUGUUCAUAACGCAUUAAAAUGGCUUACAAAAAUACUCCCCUCACCGGCUUGAGCGUAAAACAGAUCCAGAUACUUGUCGAGGCCCGCAAUAGGCCCGGCGUACAUACUUAUUACCCGGUAAGUGAAUUCUAUGAAACAUUUGCGCUGCCCCAGUAGUCAUGUGUACCUGAAUGCGGCAGUAGUCCAGUUUCCAACUCGACACAUUCGUGCAAAGCGAGAUAACGUCCCAGAGCUGCUUUUAAGUCGUACGAGGGGGAUCUUAAUGAAAACCUUAAAGGAGCGCUACUAAUAAAAGAAAGGAAAUCGCUAUCUUCGGGAAAACAGGAAGAAACUGUUAGAACGGGCUCAAACACUGCCGACAGGUGGCUGUUACAAAACGGGACGGAGCAUGGCACGCUCCGCAAAUUUUACAGCUUAGCGGGAUUCAGAGACCAGAGAGGAGCAGCUGCUGGAUUUUUUUCUGCACAGAAGGGAAUCAAGUACAUAAAAUUAGUUCCCUCUGCCAAAUAUUUUCAGAUUUCUUCGUUAGCCACUCCAGGAAUCUGACUGCAUGCAGGCACAAUGAAACUUGCCCAUUUCUACUCUUGUGCGUAGCUUACGCAAAGUUGCCUGCAGCCGCCCUGCCACGCGAGGUGUGGCGCUGGAGAAGCCUCGAGUGCCCGCACUGCGCGGGGUUCGAUGCUCUGCACGGGAGCUGCCAGCGGGGCGACAGCAUGCCACACUUGGCGCGUCUCGGAAAGCGGAACCGCUGCCAUUAUUAUUAGCGAUUAUGCGUGUUCGGAGAGUCUUUUGCACUUGAAACGAGUACAGAUUGCUUUGGAAUUUAGGCUGAAGAAGGCAGAUAGAGAGUAAUAAUCUAAGCCACUAGAACGCCUGAAGCCACAAGCAAUAUCAAACAAAUACACGUACUGAUCAUCAUAUAUGUAUGAAUGAAUGUGUGAUGUUUAAUGGCGCAAGGGCCAGGUACCAUCAUGUAUACACCCAUGGUGGCUGAACGAUCUCAGCACCAGAGUUCCCUCCAGUAACUAUUGUGGGAAACUCUAUGCCUCACUGCAUGCUGUCGGGUCGUUGGGCGCCUGUGUGCAUGAUGCACGCUUCUUUCGUCUCGUUUCCGAAUCCAAGCACGCCUAUCUUUUCCACUUGGCUUUCUUCGCCGCUUCCGAACGCGCCCGGUUCGUUGCGACUUUCGCGGCCGCACUCCUCGCCUGCGUAGCGAUGCACCGCGCGCUCGCCCCGGUUACGCCGCCCCUCGACGCGCGUCGCGUCGUCCGCCCGAGCGAGCGCCGAACAGGCGUGCGCGUCGCCAAAGCAUUCCUACAAAGACCACUCGAGGGAACUCGGAUGCUGCUGCUGCCUGCUGCAGCAGAAACGCUCAAAUGGCACAUCGUAAUGGAAUUCCAAGACAUUUUCCCAGGAAGACCCUUAUGGAAACGUCCACCUACCAGAAGGGCUGGGAUUCAAAGCUGACGGAAGGAUUAACCGGUCGGCACUCGAGAUAAGUAAGAGGCGCUUAGGGUAUUGGUGGAAAAAAAGCAGGUUAACAGAACUGGAGUCAUUACACGCAUGGUGUGCGUUUUACGGAAUAAAGAAAAUAUAAAGCAGACACAGGCGAAAUGCUAGGCUGCGGUGGAUGCAGUAAAACGUGAUUAAAGAAAACACGCUAGGCGAGUGUUUGUCACCGCCCCGUUUCAAAGAAGCUGUCAAUAAAAGUAAUAACCAUAAUCAUAAAUUGAAUGCAUUUUCAUUUCUUGUAGAAGUGGAGUUUCAAGUAUAUCGUUCUGCCACAAUGUGAAUGAUGAUUAGUGCACAUGUAUUCGUCUCACAUUGAUGCUUAUGGUUUUAAAGGUUCCUGUGAGGUCAUUUCUUACGCUUUAUCUUUCCAAAUUUCCAAGCAGUCCCACUUUUCUGAACGCAUAUAUGCGUAACCGGUACGAAUUUCUGCGCUUAUAACGCAAAUUUUUUUUCUUCACAAGGACUAAUCUGGAAGGUCAAGUGUGAUGCAAGAAGGACGAAGCUUAGGCGUGCGCUGGUCUCCAUCGUUCUCUGCAGAAUCAAGCGUCCUUCCUUUCCUUAGAUCACUAUCAUCAUCAUCAUCACUAUCAUCAUUGUUCUCAUGUCAGCUUCCCGCUUGCCGCUCCCGCAGAGACCGCAGCACCGCUGCAGGGCGCAAAUCGCGGCCGCGCCAGCAGUCGCCGCCGGCCGACGAUGGUUCCGGCGCUCAGCGCUGCAUGCGGCGCCGUCGCAGUGACAGUAAGGCCAUAGCGGGUGGAUCAAGUGGCGCGCAAGUAUAGCCACUUGAGGAUCGAAAACAUUUAAAUGAGGCUGCUGUUUUCUCUGUGCUUCCAAAGCACCCGAAGAAGUCUAUCAAUCGUUGCAGAGUAUGCGCAGAAAAAACAGAAAACAAGCACACAUUUGCGCAAUUCUAGCGCAACAAAAUUCUCUGCAAGAAAGAAAAUAGGCUUAAGGUUUUCAUUUAUAUCAUACUCGUGCAUACAUAAAUAACCAGGUUGACGGGAGGAGUCACAAAAUCAGUGCAAGGAGCCGGUUCGUCGCACUGUGAGAGCAGGGUCCAUACGGGGACAUAGUACGUCAACCGCGCCUCACUAAAUUCAGGUGGCCAAAAUGUAGCUGCCCGUUUGUUGUGUCCGGAGUGUCGCCACAAUGUUAGCCACUUAGAGGCUAAAACGGGCGACGCUGCAGGCGCGCGUUUCGCACACGCGACAAGAGCUUCGCCACAAUGGCGCCUGGUUUAGCGGCCAAAGUCAUUAAGCUGAAUUCCUAGCGGGUACAACUGGCCGUGUAUACUGCCGCAUUCGUGCACACGCGACUGCUGUAGCGUGCGCUGCUGAAUCUCUCCUGUUACUGCUUUGUCUUUCUCGUUUCUUUACCGUGCGCGAAAGGGCCUUCUUGAGCCUUAAUGUAGUUCCGGUGAGGUGUAUAGAAGACGAAACCGACUUGCUAGGCUAGUCUAAAUUAGCUACUAAGGGGCAACGACUGUGGAGAAUUAGCUCUUAGCUCAGGAGUAACAUUAGUAAUCUCUCAAACGCCUAAGAGUACAUUGUAAUUUUACCUAUAGUCGACGAGUCCUAUCCCACGGGCUCGUCAUUCGGUUCACUUUAGUUUCUGCCACACUGUCAACACUGCGGUCAAUAGCGCAAUAUAACCAAGCGGGAAAUGCCAACAUUGCGGUCAAUAAAGUUUCCUCAAGAGUGUAAACGGUAUCAAGGAGAUACUGCCAGUCCAAGAGCCCGCGUCAUUCCUUCCUGCACGAAAAGCUGUUACAGUCCCUUUGACAGCGAAGUCCCACCACGUCGAAAACUACUUCGGAUCGGGCGCGCAACUGACACACUGCAACAGUACUCAGCUGGAGCUCCCAAGGUAAAAGGCCUGACACGACCGGAAUAUCGCUGUAGUUGCCUUUCGACAUGUAUAACGUCGUCGCAAAGUUUUCAUUUAAUUUAUUUUUCGUAGAUUCCGUCGACCGUAAUAUUUUAUUGGCAUUAUAGCACCCGAUCUAUUACACCAGUCGCAGGAAUGAGACACAUGUAUAACCAGAACUAAAAGGAUACAGGACUAACUGCGCACUCGACACGACGCUAAUGUAAUUUUUCGUUCUCUGGCAUCCUUAAAGUGCUGCAGUUAAAUGGGUCAGUCUUGAAAUACGCAAUAACUAGCCCAACUUCAUUUGUUUAUAGAGUCGGUCCAUUAGGUGUGACUGCAUGGGCUUAGAGGUCUCAGAGGUCACAGUAAUUGUACAGAGAUUCGCGACAUUUCCAGUGCUUACAGAAAAUUGAAACACUUGAGGAGAAAGAGAGAAAAAAAGCGACAGGACUGGAAGAGGCGUUUCUUUUUUCUCUCCACAGGUUUUUUUUUUUUUUUUUCUACAAGCGCAAGGAAUAUCAGGAAAUGUCUAUAGCUUCCAGCUGUCCCAUGUUUCAGCUUUAAAGGGGACACAGAGCUCGCUGAGGAGGCUGCACGGCAGCGCCAUAAACGCGCAUCGCGGUGGCGGAAACAGUCUAGGAAAGAAGGUUUCGUGCAGAUCAGCCUUUCUUUGAUCGAUUGUAAAUGUCCUGCAUUAACCAUUGCCUCGGCGCCCGCAUACGGUAGCCCUGCUGUCGAGGAGUGCAAAUUCCGGGGGAUAGUUAAUACAAAGUGCGAAAUUAUGUUAGCUUCCUUUAUAUCACGUUAUAUCGGCAAGUCAUGCCUGAGGUCUACUGUGUCCCGAAUCCUGCCACAGCCGCUUUUGGUGAGAGGGCCCCAUCCGUGAGCAAUUGCGGACCUGCAUGCAUUGAUGAAGAGAAAUGUGCCAAGUCGCGCACAUUUUUCUCGCAAAAUAAAGUAUGUUUUUCUCCCA